AAGUUUUUUUCUAGCAAUUGGAGUAGAUAUGGCUGCAUGAUUCUGCGCAUUCAUUUUUUUCAUGUUUGUUCUCAGACAUCGAAUCUCACGGAGGGGUCAGUAUGAAAACAAUAUUAUGCUAAUAUACUUCAAGGUAUCAGACGCUACCUAUAGGAAAUCAGGUGAAAUGUAUCUACAAGAAAUUAUUAUAGUAUUCUACUAAGUAUUUUUACUGUUUUGAUCAUGGAAUCGUAAUUCUCAAAUAAGAGAAGUUUUCAUCGAUUUAUGAGGUGAAAAGUAUCCUCAUGAAAUUGGUUUUGUAUCCCUAUUUGUAUCCUAGUCAGGAGAGUAAGCAUGCAUGUGCCUGCUCUGUGUAAUUGUGGCACCAAACAAGAGGAGUUAUUAUCAAAUCACAGCCUGAGCUGAUCUGAGAAAAGAAAUGAAUUUACAAAGAAUGCCUACUUACUAUCACAACAUAACUCCACUGCACGAUCAAUCCUCCCAACCCCGCUAGCAUCUUGAUCAACAUAUUAUACAUAUGUUUAUCAGGAAGACUUCAUAGUAGGUUAAGCGCUUUAUUUGUCCCAUGGAGUUUACAAUGUAGAGCGAGGAUCCAUCCUAUCGUAACUCUACACAUCUGCUUCUAAACCUCACUAGUAGGUUAAGCGCUUUAUUUGUCCCAUGGAGUUUACAAUGUAGAGCAAGGAUCCAUCCUAUCGUAACUCUACACAUCUGCUUCUAAGCCUCACUCAACUAGUUCGUCGUGCAACUCAUAUGCAUCAUUUGCUUUCUUUUCUUUCUCACAUAACAGUAUGAUGAUGACACAAUUAUUUGCAAACACAUUUAGGGUCAAUCCUCAAGUUAUGCAUGUAUAAAAAUUGCAUAAGCUUUCAGCAUCUGGGGCAAGUCUGUAAACCGUUUGUAUCCCCUUCUUUGCAUAAAUUAGCCAGCAAAUCAUCAAAAGCUGCCGUCAACUGCACAUUCUUGUUGGCACAUUUCAUUGAAUAGCUAAACAACAUGCUAUCCUUAUAGUCCUACGUCCCCUCAAAAAAAGGGAAAAAAAACCCCAAUCUUUCUUCGUCACCAUCCUCCCCAAAUCAUAGAUCCUACUUCUCCAAUGAGAACCUAGUCGAUAAAUUAUCCAAGGCCAUGAAGAAAUUAUCCCAAAAUUCCUCCCAUUCCCCACAACACACUGCCGCCAAAAAAAAGAAGAAGGGCUCUAAACAGAACACCUCAACCCAUUGGAAUCCAACACUUCUAUUGAAGAACUUCACUAGCACCAGAAAUUUCAUGGGAGUCCCAACAAUGACGUUACUCAAUUCAAGCCUUUUCUCGUUUGCUGCAACCCACGGCGAUCAAGAGCUUAGUGGCUGCGAAUUGCCCCAGAGAAGCCCUCACCACUUCGACGAGGUGACUGUUUUGAAUAUGAAUAAUGAUCUCACUUGCUUCACGAUGUUGGUGAUGUUUUACGUUUGGAGAUCCCUGUGUCAUUAAUUAAGGGUUUUUAGAUAUUAAUCCCUUAAAUCAUAGGUAUUAUGUUAUUAGUCCCUCAAAUGUUCAUAUUUUGAUGUUAAUCCCUCAAAUUGCAUUAGUAUAUUGGUAUAUAUGUAAAUCUCUUUGUUAGUUUUACCAUUUAAAACCCUCAAUCCUGGUUAGGUUAAGACUAACUAUAGGUGGUUGAUUACCAUAAUAGUCCCACCCAUUUAUCUCUUACUCCUAGCAUCAGAAACCACAAAUCCAUCCCUUUAUCUCUCUUUCCGUCCUUCCCCCUCCCCUUCUUCCUAGCAUCAGAAAUCACAAACCCAGUGCCAGUCACCAAAAUGCAAACCAAAAAAUUAUUACUCACAUUUCAUUUUUCUGUAUGUCAUGCUAUACACCUUGAACAUAUCCUCACUGAAAUACAUUAAAAAUCUAAAGGGCUUUAUAGCCACCAUCAUUAAGUCAAGUCCUCACAACAUUAACCAUAUUCUUUUUUUUAUUUCCUUGUUGAAACGCAUUGGAGACCUAACAUUUUUUUAACAGAUCACCCGCCAUGUACAUAUCAGCCGAUAAGCAUUGAAACCAUUAGUGUAGAAAGGGCGCCUAUUUAUCAUAAGGGUCCCACUUGUCGAGGCAAAGCAUGAACUUUUGAAAGGAUUGGUAAAAAUAAGCAGUGCUAAAAGAAGAAAGAUAUUGCAAAUUCCUUAGUUCUUCCUUGUGGAUGACUAUGCAUGAAUAAUGCGGGUUUGUUGUGCACUAGAGUUUAGAAUGUUGGAUUGUUAUCUGUAGUUGAGGAAGUAGGAUUUUCCAUUUUCAUUAAUGAAGAUUUCGGCAAACAGAGAAGUUAGGCAACGGAUGUGAUGGAUGCCGUUUGACAAAAAAGUGAGGUGAAUGGUUUUGGGUUUGGAGCUCUUAUCAAGUUUAAGUUUAAGGAUUUAUCGGUUUUGGUUUCAGGACGAGGGUAUAAUGGUUCAUUCAAGAAAAAAAUUUAAACAUAAUGGAAUGUUUCCCAACCAUUAUAAACCCAAACUAACUAGAGGGACAAAUAUCAUCAUAUUAAUGCAUUUUGGGGGACUAAUAUAAAAAUAUGACGAUUUGUGGGACUAAUAUCAAAAUACUGAUAGUUUAAGGGACUAAUAUCUAAAGAGCCCAAAAAAGUUUAUUCUUAAAAUUGCUCCAUGCUCAAUAUUUUCUGUGCAAUAAAUGUGGCCAUAAUAGAAUGAUAUUUUAAGACAAUGCCCCUUGAGUAUCAGAAUUCAUUCUCAUAUGUGAGAGCCAGUAAUCAGAAUUUAUUCUCUAACAUUUUAUAUACCCAGGAAUCAAUAAGUAGCAAAUUUGAUGUUCAUCCUUGAGAUCCAAUGCAUCACAAUAAAAUACAUAUCUCCAAAUGUAUAAAAUCUUAUUAUGGUUUUUGUUAGCAGAAUGCAUGCAUGUUUUGAUUGACUUUAGACGGCAUAAAUGUUUGAAUUAGCCUAUACAAAAUGUUAAGAGAAUGUAAUGAAAGUUUUACAAUUCCAGACAUGAUGCAGAAAGAACAUAUAU